rnacentral:rRNA from 1 species
CCUACGGGCGGCAGCAGUCGAGAAUCAUUCACAAUGGGGGAAACCCUGAUGGUGCGACGCCGCGUGGGGGAAUGAAGGUCUUCGGAUUGUAAACCACUGUCAUGUGGGAGCAAAUUAAAAAGAUAGUACCACAAGAGGAAGAGACGGCUAACUCUGUGCCAGCAGCCGCGGUAAUACAGCGGUCUCAAGCGUUGUUCGGAAUCACUGGGCGUAAAGGGUGGGUCGGCGGUUUCGUAAGUCGUGUGUGAAAGGCGCGGGUUCAACCCGCGGACGGCACAUGAUACUGCGGGACUAGAGUAAUGGAGGGGGAAGCGGAAUUGUUGGUGGAGGAGUGAAAUGCGUAGAUA